rnacentral:tRNA from 1 species
GAUAGUGUAGCUCAGUGGUACAGCACCAGCUUACUAUGCGUGAGGCCCUAGGUUUGAUCCUCAGCACUCUCA